UACAGAGGGUGCAAGCGUUAAUCGGAAUUACUGGGCGUAAAGCGUGCGUAGACGGUUACGUAAGUCGGGUGUGAAAGCCCCGGGCUCAACCUGGGAAUUGCAUUCGAGACUGCGCAGCUAGGGUGCGGAAGAGGGAAGCGGAAUUUCCGGUGUAGCGGUGAAAUGCGUAGAUAUCGGAAGGAACAUCAGUGGCGAAAGCGGCUUCCUGGUCCAGCACCGACGUUCAGGCACGAAAGCGUGGGGAGCAAACAGG
rnacentral:rRNA from 1 species